GUCAUUAAGGCAUUAGUUUCCCCGAGAAGACAGAUCUGAAGAAAAUUCAAGAAAAUGGGAAAAUUGAUAGAAAGAAGGCAAGUCCAAAUCCCACCAACACAAGCCCUGCUGGACUAAGAGGCAGUUUGGAUGCCCUGAUGAACGCGUUUGGUCCAGCAGCAGCCUGCACGUGAAGCUGAGCAUCACUCUCCUGCCCCAUGCACAGAAUGUUGCAGAUGCCAACACCAAUGGGACGCAAAAUUCUGCCCACAGCACUCCCAUGUGUGCUGAUGAGACAAGAACUGACCAGGAAAGGUCUCAACCAGCUGGUAAAGUGUAUUCCUUCUGCUCCCGUCUACCAACAGCUGUGCUCCUGAGGUCCCCUUUUUUAGAAGCAAGUGAAGAGACCUCAGUAAGAACAGCAGUGUGAUAACAGUUGUGGGGUGAGCUGGGUUUUUCCUAUCAAACCAAAGUCUCUCUCUAACAAUGACAGAACCCCACAGGUCUUCUGGUGGGGAGCACAGCAUCCAAAAUCAUUGCAUGGGUAAAUGAAGACAGCUAAUGCUGUUUGCUGGUUUCAGCUUGAUGUAACCAAUUGCACUGGUCAAGUUAAGCUGCAUGACAGUGUGAAAUACUUAAAUAGCCAUUGUAGUGUUUCUGAGAGGACAGCUGGCUGCAGGUGCUCUGCAAGAUCACAGUGCAGCGUCAUGCUUUCAGAGCUCGCACAAUGGGCAGAGGCUCAGAAAUUUGGGUGGCAUGGAUGACACAGGUUCAGCAUGGCCAACCCCCCGCAGAGCUGCUUUCUGACUGCAGGGGAAGUCAUCUCCCGUGUCGCUUUUGAUUCAGGAGCUGUAUUUGGCCUCUGCGUGGGAGCAGAGCUAAAGGAGGAGCGCGGCAUUGCCUGCAGCAUUCGGCCUUCAGCAGAGCCCCGCGCCAGGCAACUCCUGCACAUCUGUGCUGACAGGGCCGUGACAGGAGGUCCCCAAACCAGCAGCCAUGCUUUCAUGCCUGUGCUGAAAGGAGAUGCACAGCAAGGCAGGCAGGAAGGCUGCACGAGGCAGUGCUGCUGUGCCUCCUGCCUGCACCGUGUCAGCCGGGCUGCGCCGUUCGCCCAUCUUUGCGGGAGCACAUCUGUGCAAUGGAAACCUGCGGGGUUUGCUGCACUCCUACUGACAGUUCAUAUUUUAAUCCUUUUUGUUUUCUCUUUAGGAAACAAUUCUCUGACCUUUUUUUGUGUGAAGUGCAAUGGCGAUAGAUAGCACUGUGCAGCGAGGAGUUCUGAAUGAUGGAAAUGCAGAGAUGUCUGCUGAGGUUUGCAUACUGCUGCCACCACGCAGAGGAGAUCUCAUACUGAAAGUGUGAUCACAGCUGAACCCCCAUAUGGAUUAUUUCAAUGGAAAGUCAAGAAAACAGCUAUUGAUUUCUCUUUCAUGAAUAUAAAGCAGAGAUCUUGUGUAAGAGAAGACAACGUUAAAAUAACCAAGCACCAGAAGGGGCUAAGGGAAAAGCCUGAGGUUAGAGCAGAAAGAAAUGCUUGUAUUCAAAGUUUAUAACCGUUUUGAAAUAAUAAAAACUGUGGUUAAACUAUUUACUUCAAUUAGCUUCAUGGUCAGGAAAACCACCAUCACUUAGAUCCCACUUAUAAAAAUGUGUUCUACACCAUUCUGAAACCCCAGAAGACAAUAAAAAACUGUGGGCUUUCUGAUGUUUGAGUGUGCUGGGAUUAGGUGCAAGUUGCUGGGCGUUCCUAGAAACACUAUUUCAGAACAUUUGAACACUCCAACUUUUGGAUCGGUCCGUGCAGUUGGGCUACGUGUGCGAUAGGGGUGCCUGGCUGUGAUGAGAUGGACUUGUGAUGCUGCUGCCUUCCCUGAGCUUCACCUCCUCCAGCUGAGCAUUGUGGCCCCGGCGAAGUCAACCAAGAGUUUGCCGUAGACUUAAUGGAGCCAGAAUUCCAUCCCAGGAGAGGAACAACUGAAGUAGAGUGCCACGGGCUGGUGGCCUGUAGCAAUCUCAGGUGAUGCAGGAGCGAAAAUGUCCUUGUCACGUAACUGAUGUCCUCAGCCCAAGGUUCCCUGAUUUCACUCUGGAUUUUCUGCUGCGUUUCUGUUCAUUGUUGUUGCAGCUCUGUGGAUAACGUGUUAAGGGGUUGUUCUUAAGAAAGAAAGAUUUAACUUUUUUAAAGGGACGGGUGAUUUGUAGAAGACGUUUGUGUAAUUUUGUAUUCUAAAUGUGAUUUAUUUUUAUAAAUAAAUUUGCAUAAAAUCUCC
ensembl:lncRNA